ACGGAAUAGAUACCCUGGUAGUCCAUGCCGUAAACGUUGGGCGCUAGGUGUGGGGCUCAUUCCACGAGUUCCGUGCCGCAGCUAACGCAUUAAGCGCCCCGCCUGGGGAGUACGGCCGCAAGGCUAAAAACUCAAAGGAAUUGACGGGGGGCCCGCACAAGCGGCGGAGCAUGCGGAUUAAUUCGAUGCAACGCGAAGAACCUUACCAAGGCUUGACAUACACCGGAACAGUGCAGAGAUGUGCUGGCCCUUGGCGUGGUGUACAGGUGGUGCAUGGUUGUCGUCAGCUCGUGUCGUGAGAUGUUGGGUUAAGUCCCGUCAACGAGCGCAACCCUCGUUCUAUGUUGCCAGCACGUGAUGGUGGGGACGUCAUAGGAGACUGCCGGGGUCAACUCGGAGGAAGGUGGGGAGUGACGUCAAAUCAUCAUGCCCCUUAUGUCUUGGGCUUCACGCAUGCUACAAUGGCCGGUACAAAGGGUUGCGAUGCCGUGAGGUGGAGCGAAUCCCAAAAACCGG
rnacentral:rRNA from 1 species